rnacentral:rRNA from 1 species
GGAAUUGACGGGGCCCGCACAGGCGGCGGAGCAUGCGGAUUAAUUCGAUGCAACGCGAAGAACUUACCAAGGCUUGACAUACACCGGUAACGCCCAGAGAUGGGUGCCCCUUUGUGGUCGGUGGACAGGUGGUGCAUGGUUGUCGUCAGCUCGUGUCGUGAGAUGUUGGGUUAAGUCCCGCAACGAGCGCAACCCUCGUCCUAUGUUGCCAGCGGGUCAUGCCGGGGACUCAUGGGAGACUGCCGGGGUCAACUCGGAGGAAGGUGGGGAUGACGUCAAAUCAUCAUGCCCCUUAUGUCUUGGGCUUCACGCAUGCUACAAUGGCCGGUACAAAGGGCUGCGAUACCGCGAGGUGGAGCGAAUCCCAGAAAGCCGGUCUCAGUUCGGAUUGGGGUCUGCAACUCGACCCCAUGAAGUCGGAGUCGCUAGUAAUCGCAGAUCAGCAACGCUGCGGUGAAUACGUUCCCGGGCCUU